ACAACUAAGUAUUAUUUCUACAACUCAGUUACAUUAAUAUAGACUAAACAAUCACAAUUAAACCAUUAAAAUUACUGCUAAAAUCAUACAUUUUAUAUAGAGAUCUAAAAUUGUAAAGACAACUCAAAUUUACUAGAAUGAUAUACCUAACUAGACGAUUGAUUCCGUGGCUCACUCCAGUCUGCCAAAUAGCCUUUGGAUUGCAUCUUCAGCUAGCUCCUUUGAGUGUUGCAAAUCUUCACCUACUGAUAGAUACAAGUCUUGAUAUGGAUUGCUCGCUACUCGUAUAACCAUGUAGACCCAUAA
rnacentral:misc_RNA from 1 species